rnacentral:lncRNA from 1 species
CUUUGAACCUAAUGACCUGGCCACCUACUUUACUGAGAAAACUGACAUUAUCAGAUGUGAUCUCCCUAAAAUCUUCUCUGCCCCUUCCCAGCCCUUCCCCCCUCCUGAUGCUUUUUCAAUUCUCCCAACUUUCCCAGCAGCAUCUCUAGAGGAGAUCUCUUGCCUUCUCUCCAAAUCUCCCCCCGACCUAUGCCUCUGACCCCAUUCUUUCGCAGCUUAUUAAAACACUUGCUGCUUCCAUCUUCCUUUCUUAACUGCCAUCUUCAACUAUUCGCUCUCCAAUGGCUUCUUCCCCACUGCUUUCAAACAUGCCCAUGUCUCCCCUUUCCAAAAAAAAAGCCUCUCUUGACCCGGCGGCUUCCUCCAGUUAUUGCCCCAUCUCCCUCCUACCAUUCCUCUUCAAACUUCUUGAGUAAGUUGUCUAUACCUGCUAUCUCAAAUUCCUCUCCUCCAAUUUUCCCCCUUACCCUCUCUAAUUUGUCUUCCUUUCCCUUCACUCCACAGAUCUUCUCAAAUAUCACCAAUGAUGAUAGUGACCUGAGACAGACUCUUGGAGAGGAGGAAGUAAGAACACCAAGGGAUUGGCCCAGAAACAUCAUGAACAUCAGGGCAAACAGAAUCGCAUGAAGUGUUCGGCUGCAAAAAGGACUCCCAUAACACACGUACGUGAUAAAUGCAACAAUUCUGCUCACUGCCAGAAUCCAAAAUGGCUUCCUGAGCAGUUAACACUGAUUCAUUCUGUGCUCAGGCACGAGUCAACAAACCCAUUAAACUGCACAGGGUGAGGAAACCAAAGCAGCUUUGUUAUCGGAUGGACAGGUGACACCCAACUUGAAUGGGAGGCAUGGCCUCUUGGGAGUCACAGGAAUCCGUAGCCUCCUCCAGCUCGGAGCAUGUGAUGACAAAUGCAAAGUGUUCUCUUCAAAAGCAAGAGCAGGUUUGAGAAAUUUCAGGUUGCAAAGCUAAAAUCCACAGGUUCUUGGAUUAUGAAUACUUUCACUAAAACAUAAAUAUUUUUAACAUAUAUUAAUUUCUUCUGACAUUCAAAAUUGUAAAGUCAAUAUGGCAGAAUUAUUGUUAAAAGCACAUAUGUACAAAUAUUCUUUUUUCCAUACAUAAAGUGUUUGGCAUAAUUAUAACAAUCAUACUGCAUACACAACAGUUUGCUUUUAUUUCAUUUUUUUACACGUCAUGGUAUAUCUUAUUAAAAUUAACCAGUUAUGUACAAAAAUACUUGGACAUUUAUUAUAGAAAACCUCUAUCAUCACCCUUGACAGCUGCUGAACAGUUUCACUGAGAGAAAAUAUAAAAAAGUGGUCACCAUCUUCCGAGUUGGCUGGCAACAAAAGCAGACAACAGUUAAACCCACAUCGGGUUCCUGACACAAGAGAUAGAAUAGAUUUGAACCUCUUGGUCUGAAACUCAGUUCCCUGGUCCGCUGUCCAAUGAGGGUUUUCUACACAGCCAAUCAGAGAAAAGAAAAAGUACAAAAUACAAAAGUACAUACAAGGUGCUUCGCCACAACCCUUUGAGGGGGUCUUGGGUCACCGCCUUCAGUGGCCUGCAGGUGCUGGGGGUCAGAGUUUCUACUAGAAGGGAGAACGGAGAGUUCAGAGCCCUUCUGGAAAGGCCUAACUCGGUCAGGGGAAUCAGGAUAGCUCUAGGGAGGAGGCGGUGGUGGUGAUGAUGGGAGGGGGGGAGGGGAAGAGGGCAGAAAGGGGGAAAGGAGAUGAAAGAGUGGUUUGGGAUUUUUCUAUUUUGUGCAGAAUUGAAUUAAUGCCCUUGUCUUUUCCAAGUCCCGAUGCUGUUUCAUCAGGCUAAUAGAUAUUCUUGAAGAGUAUACUCCCCUUCUAUUUGCUGUAUUGAAUUAAUACUGGCUAGUAUCGAUUCCAGGAGCUCUGUUAAUGGGAAACAUUUAUUUGUGCCUAUUUAAUGCUUGAACAUCUGUUCAUCCUCAAUGAC